rfam:Brassica oleracea var. oleracea cultivar TO1000 chromosome C3, whole genome shotgun sequence
GCCUGUGAUGAUUAGAUUGAAUGGUUACUGAAAUUUCAGUGUUGAAAAGCAUCUAAUUGACUAGGACGGUCUGAGGC